UCGAACGAGAAAGCCCGCAAGGGUGAGUAAAGUGGCGUACGGGUGAGUAACACGUGGGUAAUCUACCUUUUGGUGGGGAAUAACCCUGGGAAACCGGGGCUAAUACCGCAUAAGCUCGAAAGAGGAAAGGUGCAAAUCGCCGAAAGAGGAGCCCGCGGCUGAUUAGCUAAUUGGUGAGGUAAAGGCUCACCAAGGCGAAGAUCGGUAGCCGGCCUGAGAGGGCACACGGCCACACUGGCACUGAAACACGGGCCAGACUCCUACGGGAGGCAGCAGUGGGGAAUCUUGCACAAUGGGGGAAACCCUGAUGCAGCGACGCCGCGUGAGCGAUGAAGCCCUUCGGGGUGUAAAGCUCUUUCGGCAGGAACGAUAAUGACGGUACCUGAAGAAGAAGCUGCGGCUAACUACGUGCCAGCAGCCGCGGUAAUACGUAGGCAGCGAGCGUUG
rnacentral:rRNA from 1 species